CUUGAAUGUAUUCAGUGGUCUUUGAUGGUUUCCAUAGCUAUGAGAAUUUUUUUUCCUCUCAGGCUUUUAAAUUCUUAAAAACAGUCUGGUAAAGUGACAUUUAAUCUCUAUAAAAACCUACAAAUUCCUGUAGUACUCUCCCAUCACCUCCUGCCAUGACUUCCCUUACUGCUACCCCUCUCUCUACUCCAGCCAUGUUAGCCUCCGGUGGUACCUGGAGUCUUGGGUUUGUGUCUCUUAGGCCCUUGCGCUAUCAGUCCCUUUUUGCCCCUUUCCUUUCCCAGUAUCUCAUAGCUAAUGCCUUCAGGUGUUUGUUCAGUUACAGCCUAGCUCAAAAGGAACUGUCCUGGCUACCCUAUUAAAAAAUACAGAUACGCCUGGCUCUUCUUUCCUCCUCUAUAUUUUUCCUUCUACAAUGGCAUUUAUUCUUUUCUGACACAGUUUACUUACGUAUUUUGUAUUCCCUGACUACUGAAUAAAAUGAAAGCUCCAAAAGGGUAGUGAUUUGUCUCUUGUUCACUGAUAGCCCCAGCCCAGUUGUCCAGAGUAUUACCUAGCUCUUAGUGUUUACCCAAUAAAUAAUUAAUAAAUUAAUGUGAUACCCUGUUUAUGCAGGUUGUGAUUUUAUAAUAAAUGCUAUUCAGUAUUUUUAAAAGGUAAAAUUGGCAUUUCUUGAGAUUACAUUUACUUGGUAACUUUGCUUUCAUUUAUUCAACUUUACAGUCCCUACUACAUGUCCAUCACUGUAAUAGGCACUUGAGAUGCUCUGGCAAAUGACAUCCCUGGGCCAGAUAAGUUGGGGAUGUUUUAUAUCCAGAACACCUGUAUCACCAGAUGUGCACUAGUUACAAUGGGUUCUGUGACUUGUUAAAACAUCCCAGGAGUAAAGGUUUGUUAGACCUAAGCAAGUAGAUGGAUUUAAGGCCCAGAGCUCCUUUUCUUUUUUUUGAGACAGGGUCUUGUUCUGUUCAUCUGGGCUGGAGUGCAGUGGGAUGAUCACAGCUCACUGCAGUCUCAGUCUUCUGGGGUCAAGCAAUCCUCCCACCUCAGCCUCCAGAGUAGCUGGAACCACAGAUGCAUGCCAGUACCUGGCUGUUUUUGUUUUGUUAAGACAGGGUGUUGUUAUGUUGCCAGGCUGGUCUUGAACUCCUGGGCUCAAGCGAUCCUCCCAUGUUGGCCUCCCAGUGUUGGGAUUACAGGCUUAAGCCACCACACCCGGCCCUUUUU
rnacentral:lncRNA from 1 species